AACGAACGCUGGCGGCAGGCCUAACACAUGCAAGUCGAGCGAGGACUUCGGUCUUAGCGGCUGACGGGUGAGUAAAGCGUGGGAAAGUGCCCUUUGCUUCGGAAUAGCCCUGGGAAACUAGGAGGGAUACCGGAUGAGCACUUUGGGGGAAAGAUUUGUCGGGGAAGGAUGGGCCCGCGUUGUUUUAGGUAGUUGGUGGGGUAAUGGCCUACCAGGCCGUCGAUCGGUAGCUGGUUUGAGAGGGUGAUCAGCGACACUGGGACUGAGACACGGCCCAGACUGCGGCGGGAGGGAGGAGUGGGGAAUCAUAGACAAAGGGGUAAAGCCUGAUCUAGCCAUGGCGGGUGAGCGCUGAAGGCUUUAGGGCUGCAAAGCUCUUUCAGCUGGGAAGAUAAUGACGGUACCAGAAGAAGAAGCCCGGGCUAACUCCGG
rnacentral:rRNA from 1 species